rnacentral:rRNA from 1 species
GAUGAACGCUGGCGGCGUGCCUAAUACAUGCAAGUCGAGCGAACAGACGAGGAGCUUGCUCCUCUGACGUUAGCGGCGGACGGGUGAGUAACACGUGGAUAACCUACCUAUAAGACUGGGAUAACUUCGGGAAACCGGAGCCAAUACCGGAUAAUAUAUUGAACGGCAGGGUUCAAUAGUGAAAGACGGUUUUGCUGUCACUUAUAGAUGGUUCCGCGCCGCAUUAGCUAGUUGGUAAGGUAACGGCUUACCAAGGCAACGAUGCGUAGCCGACCUGAGAGGGUGAUCGGCCACACUGGAACUGAGACACGGUCCAGACUCCUACGGGAGGCAGCAGUGGGGAAUCUUCCACAAUGGGCGAAAGCCUGACGGAGCAACGCCGCGUGAGUGAUGAAGGUCUUCGGAUCGUAAAACUCUGUUAUUAGGGAAGAACAAAUGUAUAAGUAACUAUGCACGUCUUGACGGUACCUAAUCAGAAAGCCACGGCUAACUACGUG